rnacentral:rRNA from 1 species
CUAACAAGGAUUCCCCUAGUAGCGGCGAGCGAAGAGGGAAAAGCCCAGCACCGAACCUCGCGCCUUCGGGUGUCGCGGAAUGUGGUGUUCAGGAGGACCGUGCGCGCCUGUCCGGUAUCGUCCAAGUUCCCAUGAAUGGGGCCAGUUACCCAGAGAGGGUGUCAGGCCCGUGAGACGAGCCGCGACUGCGUAUUGGGUCUCUCCUUAGAGUCGGGUUGCUUGAGAGUGCAGCCCUAAGCGGGAGGUAAACUCCUUCUAAGGCUAAAUACGGCCACGAGACCGAUAGCAAACAAGUACCGCGAGGAAAGUUGAAAAGAACUUUGAAGAGAGAGUUCAAGAGUGCGUGAAACCGUUCAGGGGGUUAAACGGGUGGGCCCUCGAAGGUCGAACGGUCCCCAUCACGGCUCUCGCGCGGCGGUCCGCGGCGUUUGUCCGAUUCCUCUCGGAACGGCGCGCUGCGGUUUUUCGCUGUGCGGGGGCUGUUAGCUGGGGGCCCAGUAGGACUCCGCAACCGGCUGGGUUUUAGGCCGUCAGAAGGGUUCUGGAGGAAGCCUCCUCGCGGGGUGGAUUCCGGGAUUCCGGGCGGUCCUCUCGGCCGUGUAACCCAAAUUUCUCUCGUGCGGAGAGUAGAGUCGGGUCCCACCCGACCCGUCUUGAAACACGGACCAAGGAGUCUAACAUGUACGCGAGUCGUCGGGUACUACUAAACCCGAAGGCGCAAUGAAAGUGAAGGCCGCCCUCGUUGGCGGCCGAGGGGAGAUCCCGUUCUGCUCCGGUAGCUCGGGCGCAUCCCCGGGCGUCGAAGCCGCGUUGCCGGCUAGACGCACCAAGAGCGUACACGUUGGGACCCGAAAGAUGGUGACCUAUGCCUGACCAGGACGAAGCCAGGGGAAACCCUGGUGGAGGUCCGCAGCGAUUCUGACGUGCAAAUCGAUCGUCUGAGUUGGGUAUA